CCUACGGGCGGCAGCAGUGAGGAAUAUUGGUCAAUGGACGAGAGUCUGAACCAGCCAAGUAGCGUGAAGGAUGACUGCCCUAUGGGUUGUAAACUUCUUUUAUAUGGGAAUAAAAUGUUCCACGUGUGGGAUUUUGUAUGUACCAUAUGAAUAAGGAUCGGCUAACUCCGUACCAGCAGCCGCGGUAAUACGGAGGAUCCGAGCGUUAUCCGGAUUUAUUGGGUUUAAAGGGAGCGUAGGUGGAUUGUUAAGUCAGUUGUGAAAGUUUGUGGCUCAACCGUAAAAUUGCAGUUGAAACUGGCAGUCUUGAGUACAGUAGAGGUGGGCGGAAUUCGUGGUGUAGCGGUGAAAUGCUUAGAUAUCACGAAGAACUCCGAUUGCGAAGGCAGUUCACUGGACUGCAACUGACACUGAGGCUCGAAAGUGUGGGUAUCAAACAGGAUUAGAUACCCCAGUAGUC
rnacentral:rRNA from 1 species